GACGAACGCUGGCGGCGUGCUUAACACAUGCAAGUCGAACGCUGAAGCCCUUUCGGGAGUGGAUGAGUGGCGAACGGGUGAGUAACACGUGGGUAAUCUGCCCUGUACUUCGGGAUAAGCCUUGGAAACGGGGUCUAAUACCGGAUAGGACCUGUCCUCGCAUGGGGGUGGGUGGAAAGUUCCGGCGGUAUGGGAUGAGCCCGCGGCCUAUCAGCUUGUUGGUGGGGUAGUGGCCUACCAAGGCGACGACGGGUAGCCGGCCUGAGAGGGUGACCGGUCACACUGGGACUGGGACACGGCCCAGACUCCUACGGGAGGCAGCAGUGGGGAAUCUUGCGCAAUGGGCGAAAGCCUGACGCAGCAACGCCGCGUGGGGGAUGACGGCCUUCGGGUUGUAAACCUCUUUCGACAUCGACGAAGGGGCCCUGUUGUGGGGUUUUGACGGUAGGUGUAGAAGAAGCACCGGCUAACUACGUGCCAGCAGCCGCCGUAA
rnacentral:rRNA from 1 species